rnacentral:rRNA from 1 species
UCCGUAGGUGAACCUGCAGAGGGAUCAUUA